UUUACUUGUGGGACUCAGAUAGUUUCACAAGAUUCAGGAAAUGUGAGAGGUGGGGUAGUGAAGUGACCAAGACUUUUCAGCCUGUAAAUAGACCAAGUAUGACUCAUAGAGGUGGGUUAAAGUGCAUUUGGGUACACACUGGAAUCAAUGAUAUUUAUGGCUCGAGCUCAAUGCCAAAGACAAGCCCCCCAGAACUGGGUUGCAGCCGUGUAUAUCACCCUAAAUCACCAGUUUUUACCUUCUCUGGCUCAUGGCAUCCCUUCCAGGGAUCACGUCACUGAUUUUGGCUGAAAUGGAUGCCCAUUUUCUGCUGAAGCUGCCUAUGAUUAUGCUAUGCUUAGCUCAGAACAGGUGCUCACAAACCGUUCAGAUGCUGAAUGAAUCCAAAUAUGUCCAGACUCAAUGGAACAAUUGAGAAGUUUCACAAAUCAGCUCAACCCCAUUGAUUGUGAACGGGGUCCUGGGGGAGUCUGUAACUCUCACCCUGAAGUUGCCUGUGGAAGAGAAGAUCACGUCCAUCACCUGGCUUCAUGAUGGAAAAUCUAUCGUCUUCACAGAACCAAAUGAAACGCUAAACCAGGUGACUGACCCAAAGCAGAAAGAUCGAUUGAAUGUCACCGAGUCCUACUCCUUGCUGCUCAGCAACCUGACGAUGGCAGGCACAGGACCUUACAGAGUCGUGAUAAGCACACCGACCUCUUCACUGUUUACCAAUCAUGAUCUGAGGAUCUUCAGUGUGUCAGGGCAUAGAGGACCAAUUCCCUACUGGUCAGGGUGAAUAAAGCCAUCUUCUAUGCCGUGGGGGGUUGGGGGCUAGAUGGCCCCUGGUAGAUUGUCCCUUGGUUUCACUCUUUUGGGGUGUCCAGAAUCUCUCUUAGGUAGAUCUUUCUUGUCCCUUUUCUUAUUCUUUUUUGUCCUCUUCAGUUGUCAGCAAAGUCUGGCUGAUGGCCCUGGUUGUGGCUGGUUAAAAAGCAUCACACAACUUGCUUCUUCCUCCAUUCAGCCCCUUAAGGGCUGGAAUUGGAAGAGUCAGAAAUCUUUUCUCCAAAGGGUUGUGGAUUCCUUGCUAUGUUCUCUCCCAUUUAUUCCCUGUGUCCUCUCCUCCUGGGAUGGCCUAGUAAGGCCCCUUAUUGCUAUUUUUAUCUUUUAAAACUAUUGCUUCAGGCAGAGUGACUGCCAAGGCCUCAAGUUCAAGUGGAUUCCUUCAUCUGUGAGCACAGCACCUGUAAUGUCACCUUGAGAUGUUCUGUGGAGGCAGGAGGAGAGAACACCAUGUAUGGGUGGACACCAAUGGGACCAAGGGCCAUUCUGCCCCAGGAAGGAUCAGUCCUCAGUGACUCCCAGAACUCUUGUGACUGAAUUGGGCCUAGACCUGCACACCUAUGAAUCCUGUUAGCAAGAGUAUCUCUAGCCUCAACCUUGUUAGGCAGCUUUGUGCAGGUAACUGACCCCUUCUAGCCUUUCUAGGGCUUCUGGGAAAUGCUUUGAGAAUCUUUAGAAAGAGCUGGAGGGAGUAGAUGCCAGCUCUCAGCACCUACCAACAACACCCCUUCCACUUAUACACACAUGCUCUGAUCCCUCUCACUCUACUUUCUCUCUUUCAGGUUCUGAGGCAGCUGCAGGCACUUUCUUCCCAGUGACAUGGAUCUUCCUAGGGAAGGGGCUUCUUCUCCUUAUAUUCCUGGGGGUACUAGGAACUUGGUACAUCCAGACACAGGUGCUCAGAAAACCUUUUAUGUCACCUCAGGGCAAUGAAAACUGCUAGUGCCCCAAGGAGAGCCAGCCUGUUUCCUAGAUGAGACCAUCACUCCUCCAUGGCUCAGUUAAGUCACAUUUACUGACGUGUAGUCCUUUCAAGGUGUGGUACUAUAGAUUGUCAAAGGUCAAUGGGAUUUUUAUCCCAUUCAUAUCUUGUCAUGUGUGAACCCACGUGCGUGCACAUUGCAUGAGAAUGAGGAAGUUUGAGCGAGAAAGGAUAAAAUAAACUUCAUAAAAACCCUAUGUCAUCUAUUCUAAGAAGAAUUUUCCCCCAUAAUUUAAGGUUUCGGAAAUCAAGCUUCCCAAGGCAUCUGCUGAGAACCUCCAGUUUAAGAACUACUUCUCAAAGAUUAGUUUUGACUGCUCAACAAUUUUCUAUAAAUGGAAUCGUAAGAGACCUGUUCACUCAAAAAUGUUUAAAAGCCUGAGUAAACACCCAGACAAAGAACAUAUCUCCUGCUACACACAGAUAUCUGUUAGCUGGCAAAGGAAGACUUCUCAACAGGGGGCUUGAGCUGAAAGGUGAAUUGCAGGACGCUUUCAAGAAAAUAGGAGGCCAGAGUUUGCUGGGUGCUUUGAAGAUGAAGAAUGGCUACAGAAACUAACCUUCUUAGCAGACAUUUUUGAUCCCACGAGCAAGGUGAAUUAAGUCUCUUUAAGGCCCUGAAGAAAAUAUAUGGACUUAGGUGACAAGAUUCUUGUAUUUAAAAGGAAAUUGAGUCUUUGGAAAAAUCACAUUGUAAAAGGAAAUUUCACACUGUUUUCACUGCUGCUUGGGAUUAGAAGAAACCAGCGAGUUUCAAGUCUUACUAAAAAUGACCUGGAAGUACUAGAGAAAACACUGAACAGUUUUUUUUCUUUUUUCCAAUCCAAAUGGAUGACUGGGUGAGGAACCAUUUUUUUCCCCCCCUGAAUCUUCUGUGCUUGGCUUUGAGAGAAGAGAAAGUACUUUGUGAUCCACAAUCUGAUUACACACAAAAGAUGAGAUGUACUUGUCUGACCCCUAGACAAGUUUUGGAUUUUGGCAAAAUAAGGGUAUCUUGCCAUUCAUAGAAAAACAAUAAACAUUUUGCUGCAGUAUUCAACUACUUACAUGGGUAAGAAUUUUUUUUCUGGUAUGGCAAGCAUCAAGAGGAGGGACAAAAAUGAUAUUAUUUUAUUUAUUUUUAAUUAAUUUUUAUUGGAGUAUAGUUGCUUUACAAUGUUGUGUUAGUUUCUGCUGUACAGCAAAGUGAAUCAGUUAUACAUAUAUCCACUCUUUUUUAGAUUUCCUUCUCAUUUAGGUCACCACAAAUCAAAAAAUGAUCUCAUUUCAUUUAAAAAUGAAAUCCAUUCAUGCUUAUCUCAAGUUCAACUGAGAAUUAAAUAUUUGUUUAGCAAAAAAAAAAAUCUAGCACAGAUUAGACAUUAAAGAAAUAAAUUUUACGCCUGAAACUAACACAAAACACAACGUUGUAAAUCAACUACAAUUAAAAAAAUUUUUUUUAAAAAGGAAAAUUUUUUCUGCAUUUGUGGUUUCAAAAAUAACACGUUCAUACAAAAAAACAAACAAACCAAUCAUGUAUAUAAUAAUUUUGUUACUGCUACAUUUGUGUUUGAGCCAGAUCAUGGCACUCGGUAAGAAAGUAUUUUUAAAUUCUUGUGUAAAUUUGUAUCUUAAACUAGAUUUUUAUUCAGAUUGUUUGGCUUAUGAUUUUAAUAGCUUAACUAUUCAAUAAGUGUUAAUAAAAUGUCAUGUUGUGGACGAUGUUAAUUAAAAUAAAUGUAUAGCUUUUAUUUAAACUAAAUCAACCAAGCCUACCUUUAGAAAAAUUGUC